ensembl:snRNA U6 U6 spliceosomal RNA
GUGCUCGCUUCGGCAGCACGUCUACUAAAAUUAGAACAAUACAGAGAUUAGCACGGCCCCUGCACAAGGAUGACACGCAAAUCUGUGAAGCGUUCCCUAUUUUU